UGAGGAAUAUUGCGCAAUGGGGGCAACCCUGACGCAGCAACGCCGCGUGAGUGAGGAAGGUUUUCGGACCGUAAAGCUCUGUCGAGCGGGAAGAAAUGCAUAGUGGCUAAUAUCCAUUAUGCUUGACGGUACCGCUAAAGGAAGCACCGGCUAACUCCGUGCCAGCAGCCGCGGUAAUCCGGGGGGUGCAAGCGUUGUUCGGAAUCAUUGGGCGUAAAGAGCGUGUAGGCGGCUGGAUAAGUCAGAUGUGAAAGCCCGGGGCUUAACCCAGGAAGUGCAUUUGAAACGGUUCAGCUUGAGUAAGGGAGAGGAGAGUGGAAUUCCGGGUGUAGAGGUGAAAUUCGUAGAUAUCAGGAGGAACACCGGUGGCGAAGGCGACUUUCUGGCCCUAUACUGACGCUGAGACGCGAGAGCGUGGGUAGCAAACA
rnacentral:rRNA from 1 species